rnacentral:snoRNA from 1 species
AUCCGGACUGAUAACUAGAUGGCUUGCUCGGGCAGUUUUAACUGUGCAAUCUCAGUCCCAUACUGUCUUUUAAGUGUCCGGGAAAUUAAAGAUAUGAAAAUGCUUCUUACACGACGUCGAACGCAACACCCACGUUCCCCGUCGUUUACUUUUUCUCGACAUCU